rnacentral:rRNA from 1 species
UACAGAGGGGGCAAGCGUUGUUCGGAAUUACUGGGCGUAAAGGGCGCGUAGGCGGCCCGCUAAGUCGAACGUGAAAUCCCCGAGCUCAACUCGGGAACUGCGUCCGAUACUGGCGGGCUUGAAUCCGGGAGAGGGAUGCGGAAUUCCAGGUGUAGCGGUGAAAUGCGUAGAUAUCAGGAAGAACACCCGUGGCGAAAGCGGCUCUCUGGAACGGUACUGACGCUGAGACGCGAAAGCGUGGGGAGCGAACAGG